GAUGAACGCUGACAGAAUGCUUAACACAUGCAAGUCUACUUGAUUCUACUUCGGUAGUUGAUGGUGGCGGACGGGUGAGUAACGCGUAAAGAAUCUGCCCUUUAGUUUGGGAUAACCUUUGGAAACGAAGGCUAAUACCGGAUAUUAUGGAGACGUCGCAUGGCGACUCCAUGAAAGCUAUAUGCGCUAGAGGAGGACUUUGCGUCCCAUUAGUUAGUUGGUGAGGUAAUGGCUCACCAAGACCGCGAUGGGUGGCCGGCCUGAGAGGGUGAUCGGCCACAAGGGAACUGAGACACGGUCCUUACUCCUACGGGAGGCAGCAGUGGGGAAUAUAGGACAAUGGGCCACAAGCCUGAUCCAGCAAUUCUGUGUGCACGAUGAAGGUCUUCGGAUUGUAAAGUGCUUUCAGUAGGGAAGAAAAAAAAGACGGUACCUACAGAAGAAGCGACGGCUAAAUAUGUGCCAGCAGCCGCAGUAACAC
rnacentral:rRNA from 1 species